AUAAAAGCGGGAAGGACUGGGUGCGGUAGGCAGGUCCUGGACGGAAGGGGAGGCCCUGACCUUCUCCCUGCCGGGGCAGGUGUGCGGGUGCCGGGCAGAAACCUCGCCCUGGGGCAGCCUGGCCUUGGCCUCACGACGGGCCCUGGGCGCUCAGUCAUAAUCCGUGGCCGCUCCAACACUCCCGCCCCCCGCCAACAGGCGCGGCUCUCCUUCGGGGCUGAACCACAUUUUUUGGACAUGAGUGGAUGAGUGAGGGUGAAAUUCAGGCCACAGGCCCCAGAGCGGCUGGGAGAAAACGCCGCCGGGAACCGAAGAGCAGAGGGUCAGAGGUACCAGCAAGACUCUCAGAGUGGGUUAUUACCCCGGUGGGGGCGCCCGCUGCGGCGUAAGAGACGGCGGGACUCGGGGCACGGGUGUGAAGCCCCCAGGAAACCAGUACGACGUUCCUGGGGAAGUAAUGUCUCCAGGCUCUCUCUCGGCCCGGGGAUUGGUCCAGGAAGGUCACCUGGCACCGACCCAGCCCCCUGCCUGGACGCCGGCGCCCACCGUGCAGCCCCACAGCGACCACGAAGGCCAGCUUCCUUGCAUGGCCCACUUUUCUCCCUGGUUGAGCGAAUGCUCCUAGAAUACCACGUUUACAACAAAUCAUGUGGGGUGGAAUUCCUGCUGGAUGUAUACACCUUUCUGUGUCAGACCAGAAAGGUGUAUACAUCCAGCAGGAAUUCUUUCUGUGUCAAACCCAGAAUGGUGAAUAGCCACCCCUGUGCUUACCCUUCUGUAAUUUUCAGCAAUCUUGCAGUGAGCCCCAGCUAGGUGCCAGCAAGGUGCUAGGGACUGAGGAGGCUCUGCAGAGGGCCCGAGCUGAGGGCCUAAUCCUCAAGACCAAUGGCAGGGGUCACCACCCAGUCACCCCCAGGAACGCGGUGUGAAGGAAAAGACGCCAUACUCGGUGUUCAAAUGUCUGGGAUCUAUUACAGUUCUGAUUCUGACACUUGCAAGUCAUGCAUCCUCUAAGCCUCGGCUUUCUCACGUAUAAAAUCUUCUAUGAGACCUAUACAAAUCCGUAAAAUCAUCCCUGCUUCGUAGUUUCCCAGGGCUCAUAGAAACAUCACACGAGCUGGGGAGGAGUACCCAAGAAGGGCAGUGUUUGAAUGGGGCAUCUCUCCAAGCUGGAGAUCAGACAUUGUUGGAGAAAGUAUCAUUGCAGCACCCCACAUGGCAGAGAGAUCUGCUGGGUUGCAUGGGCCAGAGCUGGUUGCAAUUAUUGGACAAGCAGGAAACAAACCUCCACCGCCCAUGCAAGCCACAUUGCUGGACUGAGAGUAUGGGCAUGUAGAAGGAUUGGGUCUCCAGUAUGGACAGGAGGCAGGGAUCACGUGGUACCUGUGGUGGGAGGGUACUAAGAAGGUGAUCACCAUGCCAGGCUGACUGCCUGGGACCUUCCAGGCACAUGACUGGGGCAGAGCACCACUGGAUGUCCCCACACCAGCCAGACUCAGGAAGAGAAGUUCCUUCUACCUGCACUGUUCUCUCAGCACCCUCCACUGAGAAAGCAUCACAUCAUGCUCACUGUAAAGGAGAAAUGCUCAUGGGAAUCCUGUCCAUGAUCACAGAGCAGGUAUUGGUGGGUAAAUACGGAGCUGAGAAGUAAAAAGUUGGUAACUGGCAUACAUAUCAUGGGGGCAUUUGAAGAAAACUGUGAACACAUAUGCGUGGGUCCAUAUAUUCACACAUGUGCACACAUGUAAUUACUCACCCAAUUCAUGGUGGAUACUACUUCUAGGGUGUUCAUAGACCCUGGAUAAAGAUCACCUGGAGUGAAGGCAGGCCCAUUCACUGCUCCAGGGCAGCCACAAGGAAGCCUACAUAAAGCACCAGAAGUCUCUGGGGGAGGUGGGGCCAGGCAGCAUGGAAGAAUUGGCCUUAAGAGUUCUGAACUCUGUCCCAAUUACGGAGGGUGUCUUUUCUUUCCCCUCCUCCUCCAUUCCCAUCCAUGUUGCUCAUGCGCCCAAAGGAAGACCUGAAGACUCUCUAGCAGGGCAAGGCCAUUUUCUUUUGGUCUUUCCAUCUAGUUGAUUGAUCAACUUGGGCACACAGUAGGCUAUGUGCUGUGAAGACAGGCAUCCUGGGUUAUUUUACAAACUCACGGAUAGUCAUUCUGAAACUGCUUUUGCAAAAUUAUGACUGAGACAGUGAAAGAGAGCUAAUUAAACUGACUCCAUCUUGCUUCUAACUGCCAAGCUGUCUUUGUUCCCAGACAUGGGCUGAACUAACUUUGGGAGAAACUUUGUAGUUUAAACAAAGAUGGUAACAGCCGUUUCCCAAAACAGACCUUCUUCUUGCCUGGGGACUAGACCAACGUUAGCCACAGGAUUAGAAAUUGUGGUUUAGGAGUCACGAAGCUGGAGGCUACAGGAUUCUGACCCUCCCUGAACUGCUCCUGGAUCAGUGCUUGAGAGACUUUCCAGAACCUGCGCUUGAUGGAUCAGCUGGAGCCACCCAGAUGGGAAAACUGGCUCGUGGGAGCUUGUGGCCCCCACCCAGGAACUGACUCAGCACAAGAAGACAGCUUCGACUCCCUGUGAUUUCAUCCCUGACCAAUCAGCACUCCUGGCUCACUGGCUUCCCCCCACCCACCAAGUUAUCCUUAAAAAUUCAGCUCCCAGAAUUCUCGAGGAGACUGAUUUGAGUGAUGAUAAACCUACUGUCUCCCGCA